CUGGUGAACAAAAUGGCGGCCACUGAUGCUCCAACUACGAUCAUUCCAGGAUGUCAGGGUCUUGCAGGGUACUGGGUACCAGGAAGUGGAAUACUUGUUCAUAAGUCAGAUAUCCAGUCAAACAAGUAGUGCAAUGGAUCCAAGCAGGAACCCACAAAAGUUCUUGACAUGCACUAUUACUUUUCAUCUCAAUUGGUUGAAUCAUGCCUUGCAGAUUAUUUUGGAGUAUCUCAGGGCUCAGAGCACUGCCAAAUUCCUGUUCUACAUGAGGUCCAAUGGGGAGCAGAUUUUCAAAGUUUAAUAACCCGCAAAUUGAUUAAUGAAACACACGCCAUUUUUAUGGAUCUUCAACAUGUUCCUGAUUCUGGAGGAACAGGGAGAAAGGCAAGCUUGAUAAAGUUCAGUAGAAGAUACAGAAGUGUAGUAAGAGCAUGCAUCUUGGAUCUGGAAGAAAAGUCUGAUGCUAAUGAACCUCUGGGUGAUUUAAGAUUCAAAGUUCCUCCAUCUGCUUCACAAAAGCAACUGUUAACACUUAUAGAGACUGUCUGGCAUCUGUGUGAGAUACUUUUUAUUGAAACGUUGCCAGGAGGGGCUGUUUUGCAUUAUUUGUUGGAAUGGGUUCAAAAUGGACAUGCAGAGAGGUAUAUUAAAGAGGUACUACAGCAUCUGCAGCCUUAUAAUAGCCCUUCAUACUGGCCAGCUAUCUACUGUUUGGUUCUCCAAGGUCGUGUUAAUGAUGUGCGUGAACUGCUUGCUCAGCAUCCUGACAGACAAGCAGGAAAAUAUGAUGCGUUUGCAAGCAUGGAUGAACUUCUUCAUAAAAUGCCCAUGUAUCAGUUGUACAUGGGACAGAGCUUAGCAGAGUUCACCAUGAAAUGGAGUCACUGGCAGCAAGAGUGUAAACAUUGUCUAGAUAAUGAAACAUAUGCUGGAAAUGAACACUUGCAAAAAAUUUGUCAGAUACUUUGUGGCGAAGAACAAAUAUUUGAUGAAAUGAUAGAAUACUGCAAGAACUGGUACGAACUUCUUGUAGCCAAACUGUUGUACUGUAAUCCAGCAGUCAAGUCUUAUGACUUACAGUACCACACACAGGCCUGCAUCGACAUGUUUGGAGGUAGUGGAAGUUUGCGCAGUUUAGACAGAAUUCUGCUCUCAGCUUUUGAAUUUGAUGUCUACGCUGUGAUCAAGGAAAGCAGCGAGGCUCUUGGAAACUGGUGGUUUGUUGCCCAUCUGACUGACUUACUUCAUCAUUGUGGACAGUUGGAUUCGCCUCCCAUCAGCCACAGUAUCAGUCUGAGAGAGUUCCUACUCCUAGAGUAUUCCGCCAGCCUCAUGUCGCAUCACAGCCUUUGGAGAGUUGCAGUGGACUACCUUCUGCAGUGUCCGGUUUACGGAAGGGCACACCUUGAAGAGUACAUUGAGCAUCUACCUCUUGAGACAGACAAGAAAGCCAUGAAAGUGCUCAGGCUGUGCGAAGACUUGGAAAUGCUUGCGCAAGCUCAGUCCAUUUGUAAGACUAUGAGCAUGAACGCGUUGAGGAAUGGGAGACUGGGAGCUGCAUUGGCUUGGUGCCUUAGAUCUAAGGACUCUACAUUUGCAGCUUUUAUUUCAGAAAGGUUUCUCACAGAGUAUUGUAAGAGCGGGGGAUUUUCAAAUUUGGACCUGAUCGACAAUCUUGGAUCCGCCAUGCUCUUAAGCGAUCGACUUACGUUUCUUGGGAAAUAUCGCGAGUUCCAUAAAAUGUACGAGGAAGGCAAGUUUCAUGAAGCUGCCAAUUUGCUGAUAUCUUUGCUGACAUCAAAGCUCGCUCCACAAAGGUUGUGGCUGACGCUGCUAACGGAUACCUUACCUCUCCUGGAACAUAAAGAGGUGAUCUUCUCAAGCGCACAGACAUACGAACUUAUGCACUGCCUCGAAGCAAUAAGGCUCUCGUUUAGGACAAAGGAGUACCUGGACCAUCCUGACAAGGAACCCACCGACGAGCCCUUGAUCAGAACUUUAACACAGGGUCCAGAGUCACAAUCAGCGAAGAGUACUAAGGAAUACCAACAAACUCGUCACACAAAAAUCACCUGCGUGAGUUGUUUUGGGCCAUUCGUUUCUUCAAAACUUUCCCGCUGCCAAGGAAAAGGAUUAGAGAAAUUGAGAAGGAUAUUUUUUCCUUCUCUAAACAAUAACUUCCUGACAGGUUUUCCAGAUGCAACUUCGUAAAUUUGCCAUCCGAUCCAGCUGAAACUUCUGCCAGUGUCAGGAAGUUCAAUGAACUCACUGCUUACAUGAUAGAAAAUCAACUGAACGGAGCUGAGCAGGAACUGGAAAUAAUUUCAUAUCUUGUUUAUCAUCGAUUCUUAAAUCAAGGCUUAUGAUACGAUAGGAUUGAUCAGAAAUGGAGUUAUGGAUCAGAUGGACUCGUAUAAUUAUAAUUAGAGGUCUUAUCAGCAUUUGAAGAGCGGCCGAUCGGAAAAGAAAA